rnacentral:lncRNA from 1 species
UCGUCCUUGCACACGGGGCACUCGAGCCCGGAGCCUACGUGCUCCUCGGUGACGGGGACGGUGGGGAGGGUCCUUGCUGCCGUCAGCCUGCGCCCCAGGAGAGAACGUGGGGAUCUCGAAGCUGUCGUCAAAGAUGCCGAAAGCAAACUGUCCGUAGCCCUGCGGCAGCGUGAACAGAUAUAAUCCGAUAGGCGCGGGACGGUGUCCAGG